rnacentral:tRNA from 1 species
AUUUAAGUAGUUUAUUUAAAAAUUUAGAAUUGUGGUUUCUGUGAAACUUAAUUGUCUUAAAUA